rnacentral:rRNA from 10 species
AGAGUUUGAUCCUGGCUCAGGACGAACGCUGGCGGCGUGCUUAACACAUGCAAGUCGAACGGAAAGGCCCUGCUUUUGUGGGGUGCUCGAGUGGCGAACGGGUGAGUAACACGUGAGUAACCUGCCCUUGACUUUGGGAUAACUUCAGGAAACUGGGGCUAAUACCGGAUAGGAGCUCCUGCUGCAUGGUGGGGGUUGGAAAGUUUCGGCGGUUGGGGAUGGACUCGCGGCUUAUCAGCUUGUUGGUGGGGUAGUGGCUUACCAAGGCUUUGACGGGUAGCCGGCCUGAGAGGGUGACCGGCCACAUUGGGACUGAGAUACGGCCCAGACUCCUACGGGAGGCAGCAGUGGGGAAUAUUGCACAAUGGGCGGAAGCCUGAUGCAGCAACGCCGCGUGCGGGAUGACGGCCUUCGGGUUGUAAACCGCUUUCGCCUGUGACGAAGCGUGAGUGACGGUAAUGGGUAAAGAAGCACCGGCUAACUACGUGCCAGCAGCCGCGGUGAUACGUAGGGUGCGAGCGUUGUCCGGAUUUAUUGGGCGUAAAGGGCUCGUAGGUGGUUGAUCGCGUCGGAAGUGUAAUCUUGGGGCUUAACCCUGAGCGUGCUUUCGAUACGGGUUGACUUGAGGAAGGUAGGGGAGAAUGGAAUUCCUGGUGGAGCGGUGGAAUGCGCAGAUAUCAGGAGGAACACCAGUGGCGAAGGCGGUUCUCUGGGCCUUUCCUGACGCUGAGGAGCGAAAGCGUGGGGAGCGAACAGGCUUAGAUACCCUGGUAGUCCACGCUGUAAACGGUGGGUACUAGGUGUGGGGUCCAUUCCACGGGUUCCGUGCCGUAGCUAACGCUUUAAGUACCCCGCCUGGGGAGUACGGCCGCAAGGCUAAAACUCAAAGGAAUUGACGGGGCCCCGCACAAGCGGCGGAGCAUGCGGAUUAAUUCGAUGCAACGCGUAGAACCUUACCUGGGUUUGACAUGGAUCGGGAGUGCUCAGAGAUGGGUGUGCCUCUUUUGGGGUCGGUUCACAGGUGGUGCAUGGCUGUCGUCAGCUCGUGUCGUGAGAUGUUGGGUUAAGUCCCGCAACGAGCGCAACCCUUGUUCACUGUUGCCAGCACGUUAUGGUGGGGACUCAGUGGAGACCGCCGGGGUCAACUCGGAGGAAGGUGGGGAUGACGUCAAGUCAUCAUGCCCCUUAUGUCCAGGGCUUCACGCAUGCUACAAUGGCUGGUACAGAGAGUGGCGAGCCUGUGAGGGUGAGCGAAUCUCGGAAAGCCGGUCUCAGUUCGGAUUGGGGUCUGCAACUCGACCUCAUGAAGUCGGAGUCGCUAGUAAUCGCAGAUCAGCAACGCUGCGGUGAAUACGUUCCCGGGGCUUGUACACACCGCCCGUCAAGUCAUGAAAGUUGGUAACACCCGAAGCCGGUGGCCUAACCGUUGUGGGGGAGCCGUCGAAGGUGGGACUGGUGAUUAGGACUAAGUCGUAACAAGGUAGCCGUACCGGAAGGUGCGGCUG